rnacentral:rRNA from 1 species
GACGGAGGAUGCAAGUGUUAUCCGGAAUCACUGGGCGUAAAGCGUCUGUAGGUGGUUCAAUAAGUCAACUGUUAAAUCUUGAGGCUCAACUUCAAAAUCGCAGUCGAAACUAUUGGACUCGAGUAUAGUAGGGGUAAAGGGAAUUUCCAGUGGAGCGGUGAAAUGCGUAGAGAUUGGAAAGAACACCAACGGCGAAAGCACUCUGCUGGGCCGACACUGACACUGAGAGACGAAAGCUAGGGGAGCGAAUGGG